GGGCUCCGCGGGCGGGAGAGGAGGUGGCUUGGCUUGGCCGGCGGUGCGUGUGUGGCGUGGGGCUGCCGGAGCCGUGACUAACGCUGGGAUCCAGAGGCGUUACCGCAGCCACAUUCCUCCUGCAGCCGGGCAGGCCGGCGCUGACACUGCACGUAGUUCUCGGCAUUCAGGCACCACCGCAUGGGGCACGCGAAGUUACACCUGGCUACGAAGAUGGUUAAGGGCCUAGAGCACCUUUCCUAUGAAGAGAGACUGAGAGAGCUGGGUCUGUUCAGCCUGGAGAAGAGAAGCCUGAGAGGGGAUCUCAUCAGUGUUUAUAAAUAUCUCAAGGGUGGGUGUCAAGAGGAUGGGACCAGACUCCUUUCAGUGGUGCCCAAUGAUAGGAUGAGGGGCAAUGGGCACAGACUGAAGCACAGAAGGUUCUGUCUGAGUGCGAGGAAAAACUACUUUGAGAGUGCCAGAGCACUGGCACAGGCUGCCCCAGAGAGGAUGUGGAGUUUCCUUCUCUGGAGACGUUCAGAACCUGCCUGGACACAUUCCUGUGCAAUCUGCUCUGGGUGAACCUGCUUUAGCAGGUGGGUUGGACUAGAUGAUCUCCAGAGGUCCCUUCUAACCCCAACCAUUCUGUGAUUCUGUCUUCUACUUUGGCUCAUAAGGUGUAUGGUAUGUCCUCAUGCCAUUCAAGACUUGUGGAAAGUGUGCUCUCUCCUGAAAACAGCUUUAAUCUAUCUGUGAUCUCAAUGAGCUAAGGCAACCUUGAGAAACAGGAACCUCCAAGCUUCGUUGUGUGUAAAGUUCUGCACCUGGGACCAUGGGUUGUGCAUCAGUGAUGGGCUGAAUAAAAGCCCUGCUUCAAAGGAAUUGGGGGAUACCAGGCUGAUGAUGAGUCAACAAUGUGCUCUCUCCAGAAAAAGGAUGACCAGCAUAUCAAGGGUAGUGAACCUCUGCUCAGUGCUGAUGAGGCUGGAUCUAGAAUAUUGUGACCAGAAUGUGAUGUUAUGCACUUUCUCAGUUCCAGAUCCCAGCAGAUAACUACUAACGUGGUCAGGCACCCAAGUAUGUGACUUACAAGAAGAAGAUGGGAGGAGCUGGGCUUGUUUAAACUGAUGAAUAGGAAACUAAGGUGUAAUAUAGUAACAACUCACAACUACCUUAAGAGCAGUUACAAAGGCAAUGGAACUGAACUCUUCUUAGUAGUGCAAGACUAGCACGGGUCAGUGGCAACAAAGUGCAGCUUGGGAGUUUCACACUGGACAAUAGGAAAAAACCUGUCACUGAGAGAGUAGCACAGUACUGGCAUGGGUUGUCCAGCAGCACUCUUUGUAUGGGAUUUUCAAGACUUAGCCAUGACUGACCUGAUCCAGUAUUGGUGAUCCUUCUGCUUUGAGCAAGAAGAUGGACUACAGACCUCCAGCCAACAAUUCCAUUUAAUUCAAACAGGUCCUCAGUUCCAGUGCAUAACUAAACUAUUUGACUUCACUCAGUGUCAGGGAGUUAAAACUGCCACUUGGCAGCAACAGACAGCAGAGUUUCUGUGGAGGUGGGAAAAGACAAAAUGUACCUGUUCGCAGAAAGUGUAUCAAGCUAGGAAGAAAUGAGCCACUAAAAUGGAAGGAAGCUUAAAACUCAUCAAGGUCAGGUUGAUCAGGAUCCAGCAUAAUAUCUACUGUCUACAGAAUCUGAGCUUUGCCAGAGCUGCAACAUCUUAUUUCAUUAAUCAGCAAUAUUUGUAUAUUGAAUACUACAGGAUUAUAAGAAAAUGUUAGAAAUUUUGUAGGUCUGAUCCUGCCUUCACCAGAAAUAAUAUAAAAACUGUUUUAUCUUAAACAAGACGGAUAUAACUGUUUGCUUUACUUUAGGGCUUCCUUCAAUUUUGCACCAUUUCAUUUUUUUUAACUUCGCAUAUUGUUACAUUCCCUUCAGAGUUUAUCAUCAUGGAUUUUUUCAUACUAUGUCCAAGUGAAUGAGAAGGCUGCUUUCCAGUCUUUAAUGUGGGUUUUUUGGUGGUUGGUUGUUUGGUUUGGGGUCUUUUGUGUCUUGAUACCAAGGGAAUAUACUACCUGCAGAAGGGUGUGGGAGGAGGGGUACAAGUGUGGAUGACUGGACCAGAUGGAAUGGGUGAAACCUGAUGCAGACUGAUCCCUAUCAGGUACUAAAACAGUCUCCAGACCAGUUUAACCUCCAAGCCACACUGGCAAAAUCAAGUUCUUCUUUGCCAGCUGAGAUCACAGGAGUGAUUUAGCAUUUACUGAAGCAUUCAUAGUUGUUUGAGUGGGACCCUGGUGAGAAACAGCCAUCUCACCUAACAGCCACCUCUCUAUACAGAACAUCUCAAAUGGUGGGACAUUCAGGGGCCUAAACAAUUGUGCUGUCAAUGAUUGGCUCAAGUUCAUCAAGCCCUGUCACAUCACAUGACAAGGCAAUACUCCCAAAUUAUGUACUGUGGUGAUUUAUCAUUAAUAUUGGAGGAAAAAACUCUGGGUACCACAGCUUCUCUCUAGUAUGUGACCUCUGCUGUAGAGGUGGAGGAGUUGGGAGGAACCAGUGAUAAAGAACUGGAACUGUGCAAUGUUCUGGACAAAAGAGUUGGACUCCUGAGCUCCUGAAAAUUAGCCAUACCUGUUCCACUUAUAAAUCUGAUCCUCCAGUUACAAGGGAGACUGUUUUUUUCAUACUGGCAGGAAUGAAUGUCCCAUUGCUAUUUACUAUGGGGCAUCUUUCAUUUGUCUCUCUUUUAUCAUGCAUUGUCUAUUCUGUUUUCCCCUUUUAAUAAUUCCUGCCUUUGGGUUGUUUUUUUCCCUGCCCAUCCAGAUAGAUGAAAGAUGCUCAUCCUCUUAAUACCUCUGUAUUAAUAGAGCAAGCAUGGCUAGGGCAUGUCUUCCAAUGCAGCCCUUUGAUCAGCCGCAGUGUUUAAUUGUUGGCAUGCUUCUUGGCACAGUUCGUCCCAUAACCACCACCAGUCUUCAGGACAAUGAUCAGGCAUGGUUCAUAAACCAGGCACAACUCCCCACAGGCAAAAUGGACAAGGACAUUUUGUUUGAGUGUUUUAGACGUGAGCUGUGCCUUUACCCUUCAAGCUCUGGCCCCUUCCAGGGGGCAACAUCCCAUUUUAGUUAUUGGCUUGAUGUUGCAGUUGAUGAUAAUAAGCAAGACUCGCACUGAUUUCAGUGAUGCUAAAGUUGCAAAUUACCGAUUUCAUGGCAUAGCCUCCUAACAAGAGGAGGCACUGAUUUAAGUAACAAAGAUGAGUAAAGUGAACACUGCUGGGGAAAAACAAGCUCUUCUCAAACUCUACAAACAAACGGACACAAAAAAGCAGAAGUAUUCCAAGUACAGUUUCAGUAGAAGCCUAUUUGCAGAAAGGUAAUUGGAAUUUAAAGCCACUCCUACAGCAUUAAUUAUAAUGCUGAUUUCUAUCAGCAACAUUCUGGCCACUUAUCUGGCAAGGAAUGUAGAAUAUAAAUCCCCUUUUUAUUACAAAGUGAUUUAUACAUAUCCUCUUAUCCCUUGUCUUUUUCACAGCUUACUACAGUGACCUUUGUAAACCUUAUUUUUUUUCCUGAUAUCUAAAUAAAAAUGUACUAGAAAAGUGA